GCCCCUGUAGCUCAGUGGAUAGGGCGACGCAGUCCUAACGCGUAUGGCGGCGGUUCAAAUCCGUCCGGAGGCAC
rnacentral:tRNA from 1 species